rnacentral:rRNA from 1 species
UGGGGAAUAUUGCACAAUGGAGGGAACUCUGAUGCAGCGACGCCGCGUGAACGAAGAAGGCUUUCGAGUCGUAAAGUUCUUUAAUAGGGGAAGAUAAUGACGUUACCAUAAGAAAAAGCCCCGGCAACCUACUUGCCAGCAGCCGCGGUAAUACGUAGGGGGCUAGCGUUGUCCGGAAUCACUGGGCGUAAAGGGUUCGCAGGCGGAAAUGCAAGUCAGGUGUAAAAGGCAGUAGCUUAACUACUGUAAGCAUUUGAAACUGCAUAUCUUGAGAAGAGUAGAGGUAAGUGGAAUUUUUAGUGUAGCGGUGAAAUGCGUAGAUAUUAAAAAGAAUACCGGUGGCGAAGGCGACUUACUGGGCUCAUUCUGACGCUGAGGAACGAAAGCGUGGGUAGCAAACAGG